GCCGGGGUGGCGAAACUGGCGAUACGCGGCCGACUUAAAAUCGGUUGUCCCCCUAUGGGGGCGUGCGGGUUCGAGUCCCGCCCCCGGCA
rnacentral:tRNA from 1 species